UUGGGCUUACUGCGGUAAGUGCUGGGAACACUGGGUGAACAAGAUCUUUGAUCUUUCUUCCCAUGGAGAUUUUGGAAGUUUAUCCUUCCCUUGCAAGAAAACCCUUUUCUUUUUGGAGGACUUAUCUUUGAGCAAAGGAAGGGGAGAUUGGCUAUAAGAUCCAACUGGAAAAAAGGUUUUGGCAACUAUACCUGGGGUCCAACCAUCCUUCCAAACAUUGAGUCACUUACCUUCUCUAACCAACUUUGUUCCAGCUGUAAAGUCCCAUCUGGGUCUCAGUGCCAAUCUUUGCCUUUAGGAUUCUGAAGGAUGAUUUAAAGGCAUGUCUGUGACCCAGCACCUGGGCACUCUCAAUCCUUGGUGAUGGCCGUCAGGAGUCACUGUAAAUGUCAUAAUGAGGCCAACCAAAGGAUGGAGAACCAGUCCUCCUAAUGACUUGGGAAAGUCUCACUGAGGGAUAGGAAACCUUGGUUCUACUUCUGACCAUGAUGCUCAUAUCUUGGUAGCUUCACCCAUCUGAGUCUCUGUAUCUUUACCUAUGGGAUGAAGGGGCUGAAACUUGGACUUUCCCAGAGGACUGAGUUUCCAUAUCUGGAUGAAUUAGUUAAGGAAAAACAGAAGAAUAUUUUUCUUCAAGACGACACAUAGAAGCCAUUUCUAUCACAUCCGCAAGCUACAGACUGGCAGCCCCUGGCUUAGGAGGUCGCCCUGAAAGCUUCAAGGUGCUCUUUCUUCUCGGAUGUUGGUGGAAAUGGGAGGGGGAGAGAGGGUGGUUAGCUUUCCCAAAAUAAUUUUAAGGCCUCAUUUCAAAAAGGAGAAACCUACGGCUUUUUGGGGGUGGGGGAAGGGAAGGAUAGGGAGGCAAAUGAAGAAUGGAGAGGAUGGAGUUGGGAACAGAGGUGGCAAGGUGCAGAACCUGCUUUCCUGCGGGCUGUGUAGGCAGAGGCGGUUGGAGUAUUCCCAGCCAAGGGGAGGGGGAGAGAGGGCUACUUUCUCCCUGCCUGGGGCUUGGCAAGGACAGAACCAAUGACAACGUGAGGGGCAGACACAGGUGGCACGUGAAAGCCCUCCUCAGUCUUAAGAGGGGUCUGUACAGUAUCUUGUUUGCCAGGUAAAAAAAAUAAUACUUCUGAGAGAGCGAGAGAGAAUGAGAAAGACAGAAUUUGCAUAGAUUGUACAUUUAGCUCCAGCAGAUUUUGGACACCUUUAUUUUGCCCCCCCCACCCCCACCCCCGGUAAACUUCUCAGCAGACACAUGAGGUAGCGCCUGUGGUUGACCCAUGGGCAUAGUAAGGUAAGUGAGGCAGAAGCACAGAGGACCUCCUGUGAGCACGGCUUCCAAAGAUGUUUCCAGACAUGUGGCAAGAUGGCUGCUAAAACCUGGUAUCUGGAGGGAGCCGGGCUGUUUGACACGCCAACCCCUCCUCCUGAACCACAUCCUGGACCUCUCCGCCUGGUAGGAUGGAAUUCUGGAAGGCGGGGACCAGGCCAAUGGGGACCUCCGUACGUCUAAGGGGCAGCUCUUGGGGUCUGCAAAUUCUGUGCCAUCUUCCCUUCAGUACAAACUGUCUUGAGACCAGGAGAGCUGAACACGCCAGUUAUGAGACACUUCUCCUCUGAGGGACCGUUUCUUUGGGACGGGAAUGACUAGUAAGAGGUCCCCAUUCCCCUCGGAGCUCGACAUAAGCUGUUAUUUUUUUGCCCCUUCCUGAUGGUGGCUUCUUCCUCCCCCACCAGGACAAUGCCUAGCUUCCUUUUAAACCACCUCUCCAGAGAGCAGAGGUUGCCGGAAGUGCACAGGCUGAAAGAGGUUUCCCUUUGCCUACACUCUGAGCCAAAUGGAACAUCUUCAAAGUGAUUCUCUGGUUCAGAAACAGAGGAUGCUGAGGAACAUCCCACGAGGCGGCUCGGCUUCCCGGCCUCCUGGCGGUGAGCAGGGAAUGAGGCCCGGGCCAGGGAGGGGUGGGGACCGUCCCCGGAGUAAGCCAGCUCUGCCAUUCUCCACUUGUUCCCAGGUGGGACAGGAGUCAGCAAUGUCAGGGUGCAGGAGGGGCCCCGCCGAGGAGUCUGCAGGCUCAUGGGUGCGCAGGGACAUGCCAGGGCAGAGCCCCCGAAACCAUCACAAAUGACACACAGGGCCCUAGUGGCGAGGAGGGUGAAAGGGCGGCUCCCCGGCAGCUGCCACAGGCUCAGGGAGGCCCUGGCCAGAGGCAGAGGCCGGGGGCAGAAAGUGGAUGUGACGCGGGCCUCUCGGCUCCCACAGAGCUUGUGAAACCACGUGGAGCUCAUGUGGGCUCUCCGAGAAAGCCACGCCGAGGUCCCUGGAAACACUGGGCCAGCUCCUGGGCUCUCCUGGCCGGGUCUGACCCCCUCCCAUCUUCCUAGACUAGAUCUCUUUUCCUCCAGGGCGUGGAAGGAGCCUGCUUUUCCUCGCAUGCAGGCCCACGGUUAGAGUGGCCGUGGGAGGGCAGCGAUGGAGGAAGCGGGGACGCCCCAGGCCCUGCAGCCGGCACAGCCUCCCUCCGCAAGUCGCUGGCCUGUCGCGUCCCUGUGCCGGGGGCGGGUGGCGGGGAUGGCUCAGAAAUUCCAACACCCCCAGAGCCGGAGGGCUGAGUCACGCUAACACACUGCAUGAGGAAAAGCGAGGCACCAGUGUCCCCAAGGGCACCCCACUUCCGGCCAGUGGAUGAUGCUGGUUGAGGCGUUCUCCUCAUGGUGUCCAAGCCCCCUGCUUCCCACUGAGGACACGGAGAACGUAGGACAGACAGAGACAGAGGUGACAGAUAGAUAGAUAAAGCAGCAGAGAGACAGAAAGAGACAGACAUGAGGGGCUGGGGGAUGAGAGGGGGAGGGAGUGGAAGGGCUGGGGGAGGGGGCCUUUUGUGAAUAAAGGCAGCUUCAGUUAGUAAGAUAACGUAAUUGACAAGCUGCAAAAACAGCACCUACUAAUUAGUCAUUGACUAAAACAUAUAAAUAAUAAAUAUCUAAAGUGUCCCUUCUCUAUAUCCUCCAUGGCCCACAGGACAUUCUGCCUUGCUGGGCUGGGGGUGUGAGUAGGGGGCGACAGCUGACGGGUCACUGGGAGCAAAUGGCGGUACCUUCAAACCCACACUGGAGGGAAAUCCGACAAGGACCAGCUCUCUGUGGGAAGGACUUUUCCAAGAGAAGCCUGUCCUUGGGGGGAGGGUGGGAUCAGCUGAGGAGAGGGCCCCUGGGGAGGGGUCUCCGGAUGAGCAGGGCAGCCCUCCGAUGUACACAUGGCAAGGAAAACCCUUUGGGUUUCUAGUAACUCAAGCAAUUUGAAUAACACUGCUCUUUAGGUUUCAAACAACCAGAUACUCAAGCUUCCCACUUUUACACUGCAUGUCAGAUGGGCCUGUUGGCACCUUGGAUAAGAAAGGGCAUGACUUUAAAAACCAAAUCUGAGAUGCUUCUUCCUGGCCAUGAAAAGUCUGUUCCAUGCGGUUUGGUCGCUCCCAGCAGCACCGAGUGUGCGAUUCACAAAUGUUCCAAACGCCUGACCUCAGAACAAAGGGCUCAGGCAGGUGACAGGUAUUGCUGUGCUGACCAGCUCAGGCGUUUUGCUCCCAAGGAUCUCUAUGAGUUUCAUGGCCAUGGUCCCCGAAGUUCCCACUGUCAAGGCCCAGAGGGGUCAUGGUCUUGGUCUCGUCGCCCGUGAACGGCUGGGGGCUUGACCCUCACGCUCAUGAGCAUGGCCCAAUUUCUGCCUCGAGGGAGGGUGGCCUGGGGCCCAGCAUGUCUGGCAGUCACACUGUGGGUGGGCCUUGGCCAUGGCACUUCAGAAGGCUCUCCGGCUCCUCUACUUACUAAGGAGGACGGCUGAACCUGAGAAGGGCUGGUGGGAGGCCCUGCCAAGCCCGCUACCUCCCUGCGGACGGGCCCGCGAGCCUGACUUUAACGCCCUGUCACUUCAGGGCUGGCACAAGGGUUUCCCGGCCCAGAGGAGCAGGAAGAGGAGCUGAAGGGCGGGGCUGGAGAUCAAACCCGCCCUCUGGGCAGUGCUUCUCAAACUAGGUUUUGCAGAGCCCUUGGGUUCUGAAGAGGUACCUUAGGAGACGCCCUUGGCAAGGGACUGCCCGGUGGGCUGAGCUUUGAGAAAGAAUCUCACACUCGCAGCUUCAACCAGAGCAGCCUGGAUUUCAUCUGCACCCUGAACCUCCCUCCGCCUGCGACUUAGUAAACAAAGCUCUGCUGCUCAAAAUAAAAGUUUUGGAAUCACUUGUCUGGGCGGGGUGGGGAGGGGUGUCAGGUCAUUGAGGGGGAAGACAAGGAACCUGUAGCACUCGAGGAUCAACCAGAAGAGGUAAGACCACCACGGUGCUGGGACUGAGCCAUCCCCACCCCCGGGAGCCGGCCUGCUGGGUGCAGGUGGCUGGCAGAACCUGCUUCGGCCUCCAAACCUUCCCUCUCCGUCAUUCCAUGGCCAGGAGAGCCCUGCUCCCAAAAGGCACCCCCCGGGGGUGGGAGGCCAGGGUCCGGCUCCCACUGGCCCUCUGGCUGCUUCCCCUUUGAGAUCCGCUGGGGCCCCCACUUGCCCAGUGCUACCUGAGCCGGCCGUCGGGUUUGACGGCGCCCAGCUCUGACUUGGGGUCAGGGCUGAAGGAGCUCCAGGCCGUCUGGCUGCAGGUCUGCAUGACGGGGCAGACAGUGGGGCCUGUGGCACAGAUGUCCAUGGCGGUCCACAUCCCACCCACCAGCGAGUCCAGCCAGCGCUCCAGGGCGGCGCCGGCGGACGCGGCGUUCCUCCGAGCCUCCUCCACCUGGGCGGGGCUGAUGGGCAGGCUGAGGACGGGGUUCAGGCUCUGGAAGCUCUGCUCCAUGUAGGCGCUGCGGGGGGGCCCGUUGUGCAGCCUCAAUGCCUCCUCUGAAAGCCAAAGGGAACAAGGACAUCAUUAGACGAGCCAUGGACCGGUCACCUACUACUGUGUGCUUGGCACCGUGCUGGGCACUGCGUAGCACCAUUCAGUUCACGGGACAAUCUCACGAGGAAGUUCUUUUAGCACUCCCAUUGUACAGACAAAGAAACUGAGCCUACGAGGACAUUCCUUCAACAGAUUUAUUAAGUGCCAGGCUCUAUUCUGUGGUGGAGCAAACCAGACAAUGAAGGAGACCACAAUCCAGUGGAGGAAGAAUGAUGACAAUAAAGAAAGAAACAAGUAAAUAAAUAAGGUCAUUCCAGAAAAUGGAGGACAGAGCCUGUUCUCUUUGGAGCAGGUCCUGACUUCCCUACUAGAGCCUCUCAACGCCUUCAUCUCUGCAGAGACUGCAGAGCUUUCUACUGAUACAUGAAUCCUGAAAUACUAUAUUGUUGGCUUGGCCUGUUUUUGAACUUUAAAUACAUGCAUGGUAAUUAUGAUAUCCCCACCCUAACAUUAUGUUCUAGAGGCUCAUCCAGAUCAGCAUGUGGAGGGUCCUACAUUGUGUUCCCUGCUGCGUAGACCUCCACUGUCGGAACAGACCACAUUGUUGGUCCAUUGGAUGUCGGACGUUUGGAUUGGUUCUGGUUUGGUGCUAUUAUCAACAACUUGCUGUAUUUCUGCACAAGUCUCUAUGGCCUCUACCUCGGGUGGAAUUUCUGUGCAGUAGGGUAUGUGUAUAUGUUCAACUUCACCAGCAAAUGCGAACUCAUUUUAUUACAUGGCUCUCUCACUAGCACUUACAUGGACAGUUAUUAUUCUCCAUCUUGACCAUCAAAUGAUGUUGUCUCAUCUUCAGACAUGUCCUAACAUGGCAGACGUGAAGUGGAAUCCCUUUUUGCUUUUAAUUUGCAUUUCUCUCAUUAUUCACGAGGCUGAGCAUCUUUUUAUAUGUGUGUGUAUAUGCUCUCUCUUUUUUAUUUCUUUUAUAUCAGGGAUUGGCCCUUUCUCUAAAGGACCAGAUAGCAAAUACUUUUGGCUCUGUGGGCAACUACUUAAUGCUGGCGUUGUGGCCCCAAAGCAACAACAGUCAAUAUGUAAAUGAGUGAGACUGCAUUUCAAUAAAAUUUUAUUUACAAAAACAGGGAGUGGGCUGGAUUUGGCCUGUGGCUUGUAGUUUGCUCUGACUUAGGGGAUUUCUGAAUUUGAGUACUUUUUG